rnacentral:miRNA from 1 species
UUUGAUUGGUAUGCCUGCAUU